AAAGUAUCAAGAGAUUGUAAAUAUCUGCUCGGGAGAUGGAACAACUUGAUGUGGGCAUGUCCUUAAAGUUGAUGGAGAGAAAGCUGCUGUGGAGGACCAAACAGUUAGCAGAUUAAGCCAUCCUGAGCUGGUUUUCUUAGGUCCAAUGCACCCAAGGGCUCUCACUACUCUUGAAUCGGCCGGCAAAUAUUCUGACGGAGCAUUCUUUUUCAAGGUGGUGAUGAGGCCAUCUCAUGUUAAGUAUGGCUUGGGAAUACCAAAGAGGUUCAAGACAAUGCUUUUGAGAGAAUGGUGCAAUUAUUUGGCUUGUGGAAUUGGAAAAAUGUGAUGAGAUGAUUUGGCUAGCAAAGGGUUGGAAUGAAUUAGCGGAGCAUCACUCUAUCUGUGAGGGUCAAUAUUUGAUCUUCUAA